rnacentral:misc_RNA from 1 species
GAUGAAGAACGUAGCAAAAUGCGAUAAGUAAUGUGAAUUGCAGAAUUCAGUGAAUCAUCGAAUCUUUGAACGCACAUUGCGCCCGCCAGUAUUCUGGCGGGCAUGCCUGUUCGAGCGUCAUUUCAACCCUCAAGCCCUCGGGUUUGGUGUUGGGGAUCGGCGAGCCUUUCUGGCAAGCCGGCCCCGAAAUCUAGUGGCGGUCUCGCUGCAGCCUCCAUUGCGUAGUAGUAAAACCCUCGCAACUGGAACGCGGCGCGGCCAAGCCGUUAAACCCCCAACUUCUGAAUGUUGACCUCGGAUCAGGUAGGAAUACCCGCUGAACUUAAGCAUAUCCAUAAGCGGAGGA